GUUCUUCAAAACCUAACCCAUCGCCCCUAUAUUGGGCGUGUCGGGCCUCGGCCCGACUAUGGAGAUAAACGCGCACGUAAUAAGCGGACUGGACCCGGGUGCGAUUCCCGGCGGCUCCACCAAUCUUCCCCCGGAGUUAUCGCCGGAAAGUGCGGGGCCGAUCAGCAUCGACAGACGUG
rnacentral:tmRNA from 1 species